CCACUGCAGCCAAGAAGAGUGCCUGAGGAGCCCAUUUUUACAGGCCCGAGCACCUGAAGCACGAGCUGUGAGCCGGCCACCUCAGAGCCAAGAGCAGAAGGAAGAGCGGCGGCAGAGCGGCGGCAGAGCGGAGGAACACCGAGUCACACCGCGGGGCAAGUUACGGGUUAUCGUUUUCCUCGACAAACUGAGCUGAACUCUGUGUUUCUGCUUCCGUCUUACAAGUGCUUACAUCACACAGAUCAGACCAAAAUCGGAUCUACUUUCAGUUCUAAUGAGCUGCCCCGUCCACGCAGGCCCCCAAACACCUAUGUGUAGAAUUAAUAGCAUCUCACAGCCUGACCAGCACCAGUACAGAACAAACACAAACCUUUUUUGUUUGCAUUUAUUUUAAUAAAGAGAGAAAUUCUGGUAACCAUCAAAGCCAGCGCUUCACCUGAAACCUGCAACAACUUUUGGCCUCUUUCUCACCCCGACUGCAGCUGUGUAUAAAUAGCUACAGACGUCUGGUCUAUGAAGAGCGUUCUGCUCCAGGGACUAAAUGACUCACACUGAUGGCCAUUCACAGAAUUAACUCCUCGUGGAUGAAGAGAUGCGAACCCGAAUAAAGACGGAAAAUGGGAGAAAAGGAAAAUGUAGAGGUCUGACCACGGCACAAACAGCCAUUCAUAUUCAUCUCAUCGCAGCUGUCAGCUUUACAGGACGCACGCGGCCCGGGCAGGCGUGGGGUGAGGCCGGAUGAUUAUCUAAAACAAUCACCUAACUUCACUUCUCGGCUCCACCAGCUCAGCGCAGCCGUGACUGCGAUGCGAUCUUUACUGGUGAGGCGACCAAAGAGGCGACCCCGUCAAACACGAGAGCGCGGAAGAGUGAGGCGAGGUGACACGACUUGACAGGCUGUUCUCGCUUUAACGUGAUUUGCUUCAGGGACCCGGUGCUGUCAAAUUUGUGUUUGGCUCAUCCGUACGCCCCCAGAGGGACAUCGAAUUGGUUGCUGGAAACAUUCCUCUGAGAUUUUGGUCCAUGUUGGCACGACAGCAGCACACAGCUGCAGUUUCAUGGUGUGACUCUCCUGUACCACCACAACCCAAAGAAGCCAGUCUGAGAUGAUCUGAGCUUCAUGACUCAGUGCGCGAUCCUGCUGGAGCAUCUAUCAAAAUAUCCACCACUACACCACCAGCAACCUCCACCAGUGAAACCAGGCAGGAUGGAGCCAUGCUUUCAUGGUCUUUACAACAAAUUGUGACCCUACCGUAUAAAUGUUGUAGCAGAAAUCAGAUUUUCGGUGUCUUUUCUCUCUCUAUCACUCUUCUCCUUCUGUUGCCUGUCUUCCUAUCCUCUAUUUCUUUCU